rnacentral:rRNA from 1 species
CAAUAGCGUAUAUUAAAGUUGUUGCGGUUAAAAAGCUCGUAGUUGGAUUUCUGCCGAGGACGACCGGUCCGCCCUCUGGGUGAGUAUCUGGCUCGGCCUGGGCAUCUUCUUGGAGAACGUAGCUGCACUUGACUGUGUGGUGCGGUAUCCAGGACUUUUACUUUGAGGAAAUUAGAGUGUUUCAAGCAGGCAUACGCCUUGAAUACAUUAGCAUGGAAUAAUAAGAUAGGACCUCGGUUCUAUUUUGUUGGUUUCUAGAGCUGAGGUAAUGAUUAAUAGGGAUAGUUGGGGGCAUUCGUAUUUAACUGUCAGAGGUGAAAUUCUUGGAUUUGUUAAAGACGGACUACUGCGAANGNAUUUGCNAAGGAUGUUUNCAUUG